CAUUUAAAUUUUAUCAACUCUGUUUCAGCUCUAUAUAUUCAUACAAACUAAACUAUAUAAAUAAUUGUGUGCUGAUCUCUGUACUGUUUUGGUGAUACUUAACUCUCAAGAAAGAAACCUGUGUAGAAUUGUUUAAACCUUAUCAUAUCCUGCUUAAUACUUUGUUAUUAUGCCAAGUCACUUGUUAGUUGUUACAAACUAGAAGGAAGUCUUACGAACGGCUUUAGGAGCAUGCCUGCAUAUUUCCUUGUUUUUUGGUGUACUUGUAGUAUUUAAAAUGUGGCCUGGUAUGCUUAUCUUUUACAGAUGAAUUAAGAGUGUCAUGAUUUUGCUGUGCUUUCAACGAGCCCUUUUUGGAGAAAGUAAAUUAAGCAUCAUUCCAUAGGGGAUUAAUUUUGAUGCUUUUGCCUGUUGCAGGAUGUCAUAUAUCAUUUAUAAGCUACGCUCAACAUGAGAAGUGAAGUGUGAUUAGUUGCAGAUUAUUUGCAAUCUUUGUUUGGUUUAUGCUUCAUAUUCAAGUGUAAGAACUUAAUGCCCGACUUUAAUUACUGGAACAUAUAUGGCCAGAUGCAUUCUUAUAAGUAACCGAAGUACUAAAUGUACAUCCUUGCAAUGGCCAGAGUACCUGCUUGUUUACGUUUUUGAAUGGUAUUAAUAUUUUUGAUGGUUUUGGGUUGUUUGAUCAUAUCCGAGUUAAAACUCACAUCUAGUGUCUUUGAAUUUUGUACUGUAUUUAAAUUAGUUAUGCUGAUCACUAUUAGGUAGCCAAGUGAAAAAACAGCAUUUGUGGACAUGAUCCUGAAAUUCUCUAAAUAUUCUAAGGAAUUUCUUAAUGUUACAAUCAAGACCACCCUAAGUGCCAUGAUUCAUACCUGUAAUAAAAUGAAGUGUAAUUUGCACUUAAGUUCCAUUGUCUUUACUCGAUGCUCACUUUAAACUUGCAGGUUUAAUUGAACGUUGACACUACAUAAUCUUUUACUGUGUAGUAAAAUGAAGUUGUUUUUGUCUUUGUAAACUCGAAAACAGAUUUUCAAACUCAGCUAAAGAGCUUGAUACUCUGGUAAAUGUGUCGGGUGGUCUCAUUUUACGAGCCCGUUUGGAUAAAGCGAAGAUAUAUUAAAUUAUAAAAAUAAAAUAAUUUAUUACAUAAAAAGAUCAUUUUAUAAUCUAAAGUAGAAAAUGUAUUUAACUUCAAAAUAUACAUUUUAUGAAUAGAAGUAGUUUAAAAGUUCUUAAAAAAGAAGAGCUUAAAAAUUUAUGUCAAUUCUACACAUGUAUAUAUGUGUAUUACUUUUAUUUAUUAACACAAAAAAUCUGUGACAAAUUGAAAGAUUGUAAAAAAAAAUAGCAAUAAAAAGGCAGCUCCAAUCAAAUCUAUUAAUAUCGUCAAAAUUAUGAUCGUAAAAUAUAUACUUAUAUCUUAAUCCCUUCCAAAUGAUUAUAUAUUUAUUAAAUUAUGAUGAAAUAUAUGAAUUAAUAUAACACUGACUGAAUUUUUUAAAAUGUGAACGUUAAUUUAGUUUGCCAUGUUUCGUCCAUGUGAAGACAGUCUGAAAGAGGGCUCUGUUUGUGAUUUCUGUCAAUUAAAAAUUAAAACAUUUGUAAGUUCUUCACCGCAGUGUACUUCUUGUGAGUCGGGUGAGUCAAGUGAAACGUGCUUUGGUUUUGUGGUGAAUUUUAGACUUCAAUGUUUCUUGAGUGACUACUUUGAUUCCGGGACUGCUAAAUUUGUAACAUUGGGCUCCUUUUUUUUUUUUUGAAGACUGUUGAUGGAGCAUUUUAUUAACUUCUCUUUUUUCAUUGGCUUGCUUAUGAAUAUUUUUUAGCCACAUAAUAGAAUAGCCAUUGAAAGUCAGGCAAUAGUUUUUAAAAUUAUGAAUUGUAGAGCCUUGCUUUUUGCCCUUGCCUCUGUGUAUAAAUUUUACAUAAGAAGUAUGCUGGCCCUGUCAAUUAAUAAAAAUCUACUUAGUUUUGCUAUGUUUUACCUUGUAAUGAAAUUGAUGAUUUGAUGAUAAUUGUAAUUAUUAACCGGUGAUGUUGCUUUUACUUUUCUUUAUCUGUACUGUACCAUUUAAAUUUUAUCAACUCUGUUUCAGCUCUAUAUAUUCAUACAAACUAAACUAUAUAAAUAAUUGUGUGCUGAUCUCUGUACUGUUUUGGUGAUACUUAACUCUCAAGAAAGAAACCUGUGUAGAAUUGUUUAAACCUUAUCAUAUCCUGCUUAAUACUUUGUUAUUAUGCCAAGUCACUUGUUAGUUGUUACAAACUAGAAGGAAGUCUUACGAACGGCUUUAGGAGCAUGCCUGCAUAUUUCCUUGUUUUUUGGUGUACUUGUAGUAUUUAAAAUGUGGCCUGGUAUGCUUAUCUUUUACAGAUGAAUUAAGAGUGUCAUGAUUUUGCUGUGCUUUCAACGAGCCCUUUUUGGAGAAAGUAAAUUAAGCAUCAUUCCAUAGGGGAUUAAUUUUGAUGCUUUUGCCUGUUGCAGGAUGUCAUAUAUCAUUUAUAAGCUACGCUCAACAUGAGAAGUGAAGUGUGAUUAGUUGCAGAUUAUUUGCAAUCUUUGUUUGGUUUAUGCUUCAUAUUCAAGUGUAAGAACUUAAUGCCCGACUUUAAUUACUGGAACAUAUAUGGCCAGAUGCAUUCUUAUAAGUAACCGAAGUACUAAAUGUACAUCCUUGCAAUGGC
rnacentral:lncRNA from 1 species